rnacentral:rRNA from 1 species
GGUCUAUUGUAAAUUUAUAUUAGAUUUGGCCUGCUCAAUGAUAAUUUAAAUAGCCGCAGUAUAUUAACUGUGCAAAGGUAGCAUAAUCAUUUGUCUUUUAAUUGGGGGCUUGUAUGAAUGGUUGGACGAGAUAUAUACUUUCUUUAUUUAAUUUUUUUGAAUUUAUUCUCCUAGUAAAAAUGCUGGGAUUUUUUUGUGGGACGAGAAGACCCUAUAGAAUUUUAUUAAUAAUAUUACUAAUAAAAUUUAAUAAUAUUUUGUUAAUUAUAUAUUAAUUUGGUUGGGGUGAUUUUGAAAUUUUAUUAACUUUCAAUUUUUUUAUUCAUUAAUUAUUGUUUAUAAUGAUCCUUUAUUAUGGAUUAAAAGAUUAAAUUACCUUAGGGAUAACAGCGUAAUUCUUUUGGAGAGUUCUUAUUAAUAAAUGAGUUUGCGACCUCGAUGUUGGAUUAAAGUUAUAUUUGGGUGCAGAAGCUUAAAUUUUAGGUCUGUUCGACCUUUAAAUCUUUACGUGAUCUGAGUUCA